rnacentral:lncRNA from 1 species
GUAAAGUCUGAGAAAAAGAGAGCAGUUGGGCUGGACUCAUGGCAACACAAUGGGCUGAGCCAUUAUUAGUGAAACAAUUUUAACUUAAAACUUUCUAAGUUCAAACCAUUAUCAGAUAGAACACUACUUCUCUUCAAACGUGCUCUUCUUCUUCUCUCUAGAAACAUAACCCUUCCAUUCUCUCUGUAAUCUCUCUAGGAUNUCUUCUCACUAAGUCAAUUGUUCAACAAUUUGGAAGCACCUAAGCAGUCAUGGAGUUAUAGGCUUCGAAUUCAACCGAUCAAUUCGGUGUUUUUCCUCNGGUAAGNGUUUUCCCUAUUUUNUCUGUAUUUUCUGGACUGUGAUCAUGCAACAAUUUUGCUUGCAUGUGUUUAACAGUUCUCUUCUUCAAAUUUCUUAGCUCAAUUGAAAAUUAAGAAAUUGUUUUCCAUCUUCAAUUUAUGAUCUAUAGGUAAUCCUAGUAUUUUCUUNGGGUGCAAGAGAGCGGGCAAGGUUCUGUCAUNCUAUGCUGUGAAACAGAGGUAAGGGAAGCUAGGAUUUUGGUUUGUAAUUGUGAAAUAAUUGUAUGCAUUGAAUUAGAUUUAGUGAUGUUUAUGAAUGAUGCAUGUGUGAUCUGUUCGAUGAAAGGUGUUGCUGUUUGAAUUGAUAUUUGAUGAAAUUGNN